GUGAUUGGGAAAGGGGGACGGGGGAGGGGGUCUCAGGGGAGGAAGGGCAGCUCUAAUUGGUUUCUCAAUGAAAGAUAAUCACCUAUUCCCCGGAGAGGCGGGGGAUUAGCACUCUGCCUCUCCUCUCCGGCGCUUUUAGACGUCUCAUCCUCCCCUCGAUGCUCCUAGUCCAUUCAGCAGCAGCGGAUCGAAGACCGCGGCUCCUCGCGCCGCAGUAGGGGCAGCGCCGCCGCGCUCCGGGACCCAGCGCCCAUUCACUCGCCCUGUCCGCUCCCGCCUCGCCCGGCUGCAGUCCCAGCCGCCGUCGCCCGAGAAAAAGUUUCGCGGAGGGGCUCGGGGAAAAACAUGAGCGAGCUGGAGGAAGACUUCGCCAAGAUUCUCAUGCUCAAGGAGGAGAGGAUCAAAGAGCUGGAGAAGCUGCUGUCUCUUGCCUCAGCUGAGCUGCGCAUUCCUCGGCCGCUGCCCUGCCCUGCGCUCAGCAGCUGGAAUCAAUCUACCCACCUCCUUAAGAAGCCACUUCAUCAGCGGUCACCCAGCAGCUGUUCGCCUCCUAGGGCUGGCCGGCUGGGGCUCUAUCGCAUUUUUGAAAUUUCAGAUCUCUGUGUCUGGACUGUGCCCCUCCAAAAAAAAAAAGUGUAGCCAGCACCGCCUCUCCGCAGCAAAAAGGAAAUUUCACCGGGGUCUGGAGAGGUUAGGAGAAGAAACUUCCCUCCCAGGAUCCCCUCUCAUUCAGGAGCUAGCUCUCAAAGAGGCACUUUUAUUUUCUUUGAUAAGAAAUCUCCCUAGGAAUGAGAGACGUUUUUGUGUGUACUUAGAGGAAAUGGCUGAUCUUUCAAACGUACACAUCGUCUUCCUUAUUCUGUCCCUCCCCCCUACUCCCAGAGCUUUCUGGUUAGGGGUAGGAACAUUCAUCAAAAGAGUGGAUCAUGCGCAGUAGAGAUUGGUCGAGCGCAUAUUUGUGUCCGCAGAAACUAGCUGAAGUGCUUUUCUGCUUACUCUUUGCGCGGAUUUACCCUGGGACUGAGUGUAAACAUUUUCCCACUCAGCAUGUAGUUUUACACUUUCAAAUGGAAGCUUGGCGUGCAUUUUCAGGAAGCUGACUCAUUGGAGUUUAAAGAAUUUUCACAGGUAGAACACGGGAAUAGUAACCUCUGGAAUUAGGUACUUAACCUAGCAUUUAAAGAGACAGUACUGACUUACUGGUGAGGCGCCUUAUUUUGGCCAAGAAAAGAAACCAUUAAAAAAGUAUUUCUAGAAUACAGCAUUUAACAGCAAACACAGUGCUUUCAAAAUAAAAGUGCAUUUGCUAAUUUUCAGAUAUUUGGAUUUGGGAAAUAGACAUCCCAUCAGCUCAUGCAUCCUGUUAAAAGUUGUGCCACCCUGAUGCAUUUACUGGGACUGAAAGAGACUGCUUUAUCACAAAGCUAAUGUUCAAUUGCAGUGGCUAUAGGAUUUAGUGAGAGCUAUUCAUGCUAUGGGUUUGUUUGAAACUUUACUACGACACCACCAGUUUUCAUACUAACAAGAUAAUAAAUAUAUUUUGAAAGUAGAGAAAUUCUGUUCGGUGGGCAGAAUGACAAAAGCGCUUUUGCCUAUCACCACUGUUUCGGAAAAUGAUUGCAAUCUGAAAUAUUUACAUAAUCGCUGGUAAAAAUAUCUUGAGCGUUUAUUGCAGUGGAAGGAAAUGGGAGAAUUCAACGACUGUUGUAAUCAAGUCAGUCCAAUUAGCCAGAUUUCCAUGUGUCCGCAGAGGGUAUAAUGCACAAACUCCAUUAAGAAUGAUCUAAGUAUCUGAGGAAUGCUUUAGAUGAAAAUUAUACUAGAGAAAGGGAAGAUCUGAGCUCUCAGCCUAAGUAUCAAGUGUACAGUGUGAUGAUCAUGUUUAAAAAGAAAACAUCCGACUUACUACAGUCCUCAUUUGCAGACCCCUUCGAAAUGCCCAGUAGACAUCAAACGAUAAUCAUUGAAAACCGUAGGCUGUUUUGGAUGAUGAUGGUGAUAUUUUACACUCAUAUAUAACUUUCUACCAAAUAACUGAGUCUUUCACGUAGUUUUCUAUGGGCUUCGAUUCCCUGCAUGCAUAUACUCCACAUCAAGAAUUACCCAAUAUCCUGAUUCUUCCCUCUGUUUUUUUAAUCACAGCUAAAUUCCUUAUUUUGACCACCCAGUUAGCUCAGAGGACUGCGUACAAUUGUUGUUUUUAAAUUAGCUUAAGCAAAAGCUGGAAUCAAUAUCGCUCUGUUACAGGAAUAAUGUAUUAUAUUGCAAAGCUACUGAGCUAUUCCUGUCACAGAUCCCUUGAUUUUUGAUAAUGUGAAUUCAUCCUUUGGAACUUGUACCUUCUUCCACUGGGACAUGGGUGCUUCGGAAUGGAUGCCCCAGAAAACUCGUUGCCUUUUGCGUCUCUGAUUCAUUUCAGUUGAUUUAACCUUCAGACUAAAUCAAGGGAUCUGGCCUAAUUUUGAUAUAAGUAGCUUCAAUGAAAUGAGCGGGUACAUCCACUGAAUUCUGGGCCCACCUUAUUAACUGUCCCAAUAAAAAUACACAAUGCUUUAAAAUCGCAUCGGUAAGAAUGUUAAAGAUGGCUAACCCUACUGAUUUUAACACGAUGCUAAGCUCUUUACUUUCAUCAGCUCAUUGUUCUUUUCCCAGUGAUCCUAAAUCACAUAUGUACUUUUCAUGUGAGGAAUCUGAGGCUCAAAGAAGUCACUUACCUAAGCUCUCACAGCCAGGAAAUACCAGAUGUGUUUCAAACCCCAAUUUUACAAUUUUUAGAGCCCUAGUUCUCAGCUGCUAUACUCUAUAGCCUUGGAAUCAGGAGAGUUCCAUCUUAUUAACUAGUGAAUCCUUCUGAAUAGGAAGAAAAGAACAUGCCCUAAAUUAGAAUGCAUUGUUGUUUUGGUGUUUUGUUUUGUUUUGUUUUGUUUUACCUUACCUUGUAGCCAGCACAAAACUGAGCUUAUGAAAAAGUGACCAGUGAGCUUAAGCAAAUAUGCCUCGGUAGGCAUAUCCAGCACGUACCCUUGAAUGUGCUGAGCUGGCUAGAAUUUCCUCGGGUCCUUCUCUUGGAACUGGCAUUUCCCAGUCAUUCCUCCUUCACAUCAUAGGUGGAACUGAUGGGCAGUGCAGGUAAGGAAGGAUGUGAAAAGGAUCUCUGUGGCUGCCUUUGUAUAUCACCCACUAUAUCCUUUGCCUUUUGCCUUACAGAUUCCUCCUGCUAAUCCCAUCAUCCCUACCAAUCCUUCCAUCCAAAGGAAUUUAUUCCUACCUGACUACAUACCAAUCUGUUGACCAGUUAUCCUUUCUGGAUUAACAUAGUGAUGUUUUAACAGAAGCUUCUGAGAAAGGACAUUCAUCUAGUUUACUCUGAUGAGUGGUAUUUAUGAUGAGAGUUGAAAGAGGGAAGAACCGCGGAGACGGCAGGUUGUUUAGGCAGGCUUCAUCCUUGUGUCUUGCCAAGAGUAGUUUGAAGAGGACAGGUUCUGUGAACAAGCACCUCACUUGUAUUUUCACUCAAAGCAAUACAGAAGGCAGAUAGUACUCUGGUUUUAAUGAUGCGAAAACUGAGCAAAUCACUACUGAAGUGUCUUUUAAAGGAUCUCAGAAAUGGGACAAGAAGAACAAUGUAGGUUUCUCAAUUUUGCAUCAGUACCAGAGUUGGUGAAUUGAUAGCUCUGAGUUAUCAUCGUUUAUACUUAUAUUUUAAGACAUAUCCACUUUGCUUUGGUGUUGAUUUGGGUUCUGGGAUGAUGUUCAUUUUCCAGGUGUAUUUGUAAUAUAGCAAGGGUUCCUGUUCUAUCUGGAUCAUUGAUUUGUGUAUAGAUUGCAAGUUUCAAUUUAAUUGUGUGUUUAUAGGAGAUUUGACUGACCCUCAUGAUAAUACUUCUAAAAGACCUGAAUAAACAAAAGAUGUCGUAUGUUUUUACUCAUUACUGACUGCUCAUUUCCCAGUGCCCUCUCCCCACUGUAUGUAGGAGGUGCUAAGAGUGCGUUAAAACCCGUUCUUUUGGUAGGAUUUUCAGGUGAUUUCAUAGCUGCUCAGAGUAGGAAUACUUAUUUUCAUUUUCCACUGAGAAUUUGCUUAUCAGAGUUCAGGACCCUAUGUUAUCUUGAAUUCUUGUAGCUCUUGGAAGUUACUGUGAGCUCUGAGAUAAACCAGGGGUAGUGUAUCCUGUUUCACAAAAGUGAAAGCUCAGAAGUUUGGAAUUUGUCAAAAACGAGUACUGACCUGGAGCCCAGCCUUGUUAGUGUCAAGUGCUGUGGGAUCCCUGAAGAGAAAAGGGUGUGUGUGUGUGUGUGUGUGUGNNNNNNNNNNNNNNNNNNNNNNNNNNNNNNNNNNNNNNNNNNNNNNNNNNNNNNNNNNNNNNNNNNNNNNNNNNNNNNNNNNNNNNNNNNNNNNNNNNNGUGUGUGUGUGUGUGUGUGUGUGACUAUAUGUGUAUGCAUAUGUGCAUGUCCACAUAUGUAUACACAUACACACAAAUUGCCAGUUUAUUCAGUUUAUGACUUUACACUUCUUACAGUAAACUCUUCGAGUUCGGCCCA
ensembl:lncRNA